rnacentral:rRNA from 1 species
GGUGACAGGUGGUGCAUGGUUGUGUCAGCUCGUGUCGUGAGAUGUUGGGUUAAGUCCCGCAACGAGCGCAACCCCUAGAUUGUGUUGCUACCAUUUAGUUGAGCACUCACAAUCGACUGCCGGUGACAAACCGGAGGAAGGCGGGGAUGACGUCAAAUCAUCAUGCCCCUUAUGUCUUGGGCUACACACGUGCUACAAUGGGCGGUACAAAGAGAAGCGAGACCGCGAGGUGGAGCCAAUCUCAUAAAGCCGUUCGUAGUUCGGAUUGCAGGCUGCAACUCGCCUGCAUGAAGCCGGAAUUGCUAGUAAUCGCGGAUCAGCAUGCCGCGGUGAAUUCGUUCCCGGGCCUUGUACACACCGCCCGUCACACCAUGGGAGUUGGCAACACCCGAAGUCGGUGAGGUAACCUUUAUUGGAGCCAGCCGCCUAAGGUGGGGUCGAUGACUGGGGUGAAGUCGUAACAAGGUAGCCGUAUCGGAAGGUGCGGCUGGAUCACCUCCUUAAUCGA